rnacentral:rRNA from 1 species
CGCCAGAGCCAUUUCUCCCUGCAGCUCUCGUCUGGUUUCUCAGUGAGGCUAAGCAGGGUUGAGCCUGGCCUGUGGCUGGAUGGGAGACCUCCUGGGGGAAAACUAAGGUUGUGCUGGAAG